rnacentral:sRNA from 1 species
GUAUCUGAAGCCUGACGAGGAUGAGAACCUCCGGGGGCAAGAGGUUCGACUCGAGCGAAGCGAGAGAACGUUGCGUCAGAAACGGCCCGCAGUGGCAAGUCAUCCUCUGUCACCGGCAG